ACUGCUCAGUAACACGUGGCCAACCUGCCCUUGGGACGGGAACACCCCCGGGAAACUGGGGUUAAUUCCCGAUAGGUGAAGAAGUCUGGAAUGAAUCUUCGCUCAAAAGACGUUUAUGUCAUGCUCAUAUUCGUCGCCCAGGGAUGGGGCCGCGACCGAUCAGGUAGUUGGUGAGGCAAUGGCUCACCAAGCCUUUUACCGGUGCGGGCCGUGAGAGCGGGAGCCCGGAGAUGGGCACUGAGACAAGGGCCCAGGCCCCACGGGGCGCAGCAGUCGCGAAAACUUUGCAAUACACGAAAGUGUGACAGGGCUAUCCCGAGUGCCAUCCGCUGAGGAAGGCUUUUACCCAGUAUAAAUAGCUGGGAGAAUAAGGAGAGGGCAAGUCUGGUGUCAGCCGCCGCGGUAAUACCAGCUCUCCGAGUAGUGUGGACGUUUAUUGGGCCUAAAGCAUCCGUAGCUUGCUAGAUAAGUCCUCUGUUAAAUCCACCGAUUCAAUCGUUGGAUUGCGGGGGAUACUGUUUGGCUAGGGGACGGGAGAGGUCGACGGUAUUUCCGGGGUAGGGGUGAAAUCCUAUAAUCCCGGGAAGACCACCAGUGGCGAAGGCUGUCGACUAGAACGCGCCCGACGGUGAGGGAUGAAAGCUGGGGGAGCGAACCGGAUUAGAUACCCGGGUAGUCCCAGCUGUAAACGAUGCAGGCUAGGUGUUUGGGCGGCCACGAGCCGCCCUAGUGCCGCAGGGAAGCUGUUAAGCCUGCCGCCUGGGGAGUACGGCCGCAAGGCUGAAACUUAAAGGAAUUGGCGGGGGAGCACCACAAGGGGUGAAGCUUGCGGUUUAAUUGGAUUCAACGCCGGA
rnacentral:rRNA from 1 species